GUGUCAGCAGCCGCGGUAAUACGAAGGGGGCUAGCGUUGUUCGGAAUUACUGGGCGUAAAGCGCGCGCAGGCGGCCUUUCAAGUCAGUGGUGAAAGCCCGGAGCUCAACUCCGGAACUGCCAUUGAAACUGUUUGGCUUGAGUACGAGAGAGGUGAGUGGAAUUCCCAGUGUAGAGGUGAAAUUCGUAGAUAUUGGGAAGAACACCGGUGGCGAAGGCGGCUCACUGGCUCGUUACUGACGCUCAGGCGCGACAGCGUGGGGAUCAAACAGGAUUAGAUACCCCCGUAGUCC
rnacentral:rRNA from 1 species